CAAGCUUCUUCUUGCUUUUCAAAGCUUUGAUGGUGAAGCCAAAGUCCGUAUGAGUCUUUGGCUUUGUAUCUUCUAACAAGGAAACAAUAUUUAGGCUUUCAAGAUCCGGUUGCGGUUCUAGUUCUUAGA
rnacentral:pre_miRNA from 1 species